rnacentral:rRNA from 1 species
ACUUGCUUUCUUUGCUGGCGACCGGCGCACGGGUGAGUAACACGUAUCCAACCUGCCCUUUACUCGGGGAUAGCCUUUCGAAAGAAAGAUUAAUACCCGAUAGUAUAAUGAUUCCGCAUGGUUUCAUUAUUAAAGGAUUCCGGUAAAGGAUGGGGGAUGCGUUCCAUUAGGUUGUUGGUGAGGUAACGGCCCACCAAGCCUUCGAUGGAUAGGGGUUCUGAGAGGAAGGUCCCCCACAUUGGAACUGAGACACGGUCCAAACUCCUACGGGAGGCAGCAUG